UACAGAGGUCCCAAGCGUUGUUCGGAUUUAUUGGGCGUAAAGGGUGCGUAGGCGGCGGAGUAAGUUGGGUGUGAAAUCCCGGGGCUCAACCUCGGAACUGCAUUCAAUACUGCUUCGCUCGAGUACUGGAGAGGAGGCUGGAAUUUACGGUGUAGCAGUGAAAUGCGUAGAUAUCGUAAGGAAGGCCGGUGGCGAAAGCGAGCCUCUGGACAGUUACUGACGCUGAUGCACGAAGGCCAGGGGAGCAAACGGG
rnacentral:rRNA from 1 species